rnacentral:rRNA from 1 species
GAUGAACGCUGGCGGCGUGCCUAAUACAUGCAAGUCGAGCGAAAAGACCACGUUCUUGCUCUUCUGACGUUAGCGACGGACGGGUGACUAACACGUGGAUAACCCACCUCUAUGACUGGGAUAACUUCGAGAGACCGGAGCAACUACUGGGAAAUAUAUCUACCCGCAGGGUUCUAUAGUGUAUCAGGGGUUUGCUGUGACCUCUAGACGUAUCCGCGCCGCAUUGGCUAGUUGGCAUGGUAACGGCUUACCAGGGCAACGAUGGGUAGCCGACCCGGGAGGGUGUUCGGCCACACUGGAACUGAGACGCGGUCCAGACUCCUACGGGAGGCCGCAGUAGCGACUGUUGCGCGAUGGGCGAAAGCCUGACGGAGCAACGCCGCGUGGGUGAUGAAGGGCUGCGUAUCGUAAAACGCUGUUAGGAUUGUAGAACAAAUGUGUAAAUAACGAUGCUCUUCUUGACGGUACCGGAUCAGAAAGCCCCGGCUAACUACGUG